rnacentral:lncRNA from 1 species
CGAUCCUAAGUUUGCAUUCCAGUUCCCUAAUUUGAAUCUCUUGGUCUUUCAGCAUAAUAUUCAUUUCUUCCACCUCUGCACUCUUCACCUCGAACAUCUCCAUCAACGUUUCAUACUUUUCAGCCUUUAUUUCUCCCAUAUGUUUGCAAAAUUUGAGCUCCUCGUAGGCUUUAUCUCUCUGAAGAAUUAUGUUGUUGAGGGACAUCUUGUAGUAAGUACUUAGCUCUGGAUCCAACCAUCUCCAAAACCCACAAUUUGCAGACUACACCACAGAAAAAAAAAAAUAAAACAAAAAUCACCUGUUAAAUCUAAAACAAACAUUACAAAACUGAAACAUACUUACCAUUUUACGUCUACAAUGCCAAAACCGUCGCUCAGGAUUCUUUUGAGUGUGGGAGGUGUCGAGUAAAGCUGGGAUUUUAUGCUCACAAAGAACAAUUUCACAGCCUCCGCGAGUAACGCUCGAAUCUGAACUGGAAGGUGCAUCCGACAUUUAAACAAAA